GAUGAACGCUGGCGGCGUGCUUAAUACAUGCAAGUCGAACGAAGUCAGUAGCAAUAUUGGCUGAGUGGCGAACGGGUGAGUAACGCGUUGGUGACCUGCCCCGAAGAGAGGGAUAACAGUUCGAAAGGACUGCUAAUACCCCAUGUGGUCUCAGGGAUUAGAUGCCCUGAGUCUAAAGGAGUAAUCCACUUUGGGAGGGACCUGCGUCCCAUCAGCUAGUUGGUAAGGUAACGGCCUACCAAGGCUUCGACGGGUAGGGGACCUGAGAGGGUGGCCCCCCACAAUGGAACUGAAACACGGUCCAUACACCUACGGGUGGCAG
rnacentral:rRNA from 1 species